ACCCGCUGAACUUAAGCAUAUCAAUAAGCGGAGGAAAAGAAACCAACAGGGAUUGCUCUAGUAACGGCGAGUGAAGCAGCAAUAGCUCAAAUUUGAAAUCUGGCGUCUUCGACGUCCGAGUUGUAAUUUGUAGAGGAUGCUUCUGAGUGGCCACCGACCUAAGUUCCUUGGAACAGGACGUCAUAGAGGGUGAGAAUCCCGUAUGCGGUCGGAAAGGCGCUCUAUACGUAGCUCCUUCGACGAGUCGAGUUGUUUGGGAAUGCAGCUCUAAAUGGGAGGUAAAUUUCUUCUAAAGCUAAAUAUUGGCCAGAGACCGAUAGCGCACAAGUAGAAUGAUCGAAAGAUGAAAAGCACUUUGGAAAGAGAGUUAAAAAGCACGUGAAAUUGUUAAAAGGGAAGGGAUUGCAACCAGACUUGCUCGCGGUGUUCCGCCGGUCUUCUGACCGGUCUACUCGCCGCGUUGCAGGCCAGCAUCGUCUGGUGCCGCUGGAUAAGACUUGAGGAAUGUAGCUCCCUCGGGAGUGUUAUAGCCUCUUGUGAUGCAGCGAGCGCCGGGCGAGGUCCGCGCUUCGGCUAGGAUGCUGGCGUAAUGGUCGUAAUCCGCCCGUCUUGAAACACGGACCAAGGAGUCUAACAUCUAUGCGAGUGUUCGGGUGUCAAACCCCUACGCGUAAUGAAAGUGAACGGAGGUGAGAACCGCAAGGUGCAUCAUCGACCGAUCCUGAUGUCUUCGGAUGGAUUUGAGUAAGAGCAUAGCUGUUGGGACCCGAAAGAUGGUGAACUAUGCCUGAAUAGGGUGAAGCCAGAGGAAACUCUGGUGGAGGCUCGCAGCGGUUCUGACGUGCAAAUCGAUCGUCAAAUUUGGGUAUAGGGGCGAAAGACUAAUCGAACCAUCUAGUAGCUGGUUCCUGCCGAAGUUUCCCU
rnacentral:rRNA from 1 species